rnacentral:lncRNA from 1 species
UUAAGCUCUGGAACAGCCUGGUGAGAUAAAACCAUUGGGCCUGUUUAUAAAUAAACUACUGUACACCUGAAACUAACACAACAUUAUAAAGCAGUUAUAGUUUAACUUAAAAGAAUUUUUGAAAAAAGAAUAGUCAGAUCAUAUCUAGAGCCUUUUAUCACAGUGGUGUGAAGAUGUGUGUUGGGUUUUUAGCAACAAGCUUAUUAAGCAGAAGGACUUGGGCGUAAGAGAAGUCUUUCUUGUGUUUUAUAUAUCAGUUAGGAAACCAGGUACAUGAAUGUAUUCACUACCUUACUACAACUUAAUAUUUUAGGAGAGUAUGAUAAUAUUUUUAUUUCCUUCUAGUAUUGUGAAUACUAAAAGGAUGUUGGAAAGGGGAAUGUUUAAAUUGUAUCUUUUAGAAUAAAAUUACCAGGGUUCCAAUUGGCUCAGAGGGUUAAGAAUCUGACACAGUAUCUGUGAGGAUGCAAGUUCGAUCCCUGGCCUUGUUCAGUGGGUUAAGGAUCUGGCAUUGCUGGAUAGGUGUGGCAUAGGUCGCAGACACAGCUUUUGGAUCCUGUAUUGCUGUGGCUGUGGUGUAAGCCAGCAGCUGCAGUCCUAAAAAUUAAAAAAAUUUAAAAAGUAAAAUUACUAAUUUUGGGGGAAAAAAAUGAGAUACUAGACUAGAAUGAAGAAACUUGUCCAAGGUCUGACAGCGAGUACAUAGGAAAGCUCAUACCCUAGCCCACAAUUCACAAUAAAUCCCAUAUGUCACAAGGCAUAACAUCCUAAUUUUCAUGCUUAUACAUAAACCUAUAACUUCUAGGAAUAUCCCACUUAGGUGGCUAAAAUGGCUCUUAGCUUGACGUUUCCUAAGGGUUUGUAAUAAACAAGGAUGGAUUAGUGAGUGGGGAGAGAUGGGGAUAAUUAUUUAAUAAGCUUUGGAAUUUUUUUCCACCCAGUUUGGGUUCUAAUUUAGUCAUUUAUUUAUGUCUUUUUGCUAUUUCUAUUUGCUAUUUGCUAUUAUAAGCAUCAAUUGGAUGCUUAUAAGUCUAAAGUGUUUUAGGGAAUUGGCCAAGACUGUAGUCUCAGGUUCUGCCUAGAAACCAAACACCUUAUUUAAAAAGACACUGUACACCACAAGAGUAUUCAGCUUACCUGCAGUGCUGAAGUUACCUUAGCUCAGGAUUGGCAAAUAUGUUUCUUCCUCUUGCCAGCACUAAUCUGUGAGCUGCCUGGCAUGUAAUGAUGAGAACAGAUCUCAGGUGGGAAGAACACAAUUUCUCACCUUGAACUUUGUCCUAUGGGACGCUACAUGUCGUGCAAGCCAAAAAUACAAAUGCAAAAUCUGAUUUUAAAAAAUGUUUGUCAGAGUUCCCGUCGUGGCUCAGUGGUU